UCCGUUAUGGUGUAGUGGCUAACAUUAUCGCCUCUCAUCUGGAUAAAUACUGAUUUGAGACCGCGAUAGCCCAGGGUUCGAUUCCCUGUAACGGAA